rnacentral:tRNA from 1 species
UCCCUGGUGGUCUAGUUGUUAGGACUCCUGGCUUCCACUUAGGGGUCAUGGGUUUGAUUCCUGGUUGGGGAA